UUGAUUGAGAGUUUGAUCCUGGCUCAGGAUGAACGCUGGCGGCGUGCCUAACACAUGCAAGUCGAACGAAGCAAUAAAGACGGAGAUUCGUCAAAGCCUUUAUUGACUUAGUGGCGGACGGGUGAGUAACGCGUGAGCAACCUGCCUUUCAGAGGGGGACAACAGUUGGAAACGACUGCUAAUACCGCAUAAUGUACAGAGGGGGCAUCCCAUUUGUAUCAAAGGAGAAAUCCGCUGAAAGAUGGGCUCACGUCUGAUUAGCUAGUUGGUGGGGUAAAGGCCUACCAAGGCUGCGAUCAGUAGCCGGACUGAGAGGUUGAACGGCCACAUUGGGACUGAGAUACGGCCCAGACUCCUACGGG
rnacentral:rRNA from 1 species